CCCUUAGAUGUUCUGGGCUGCACGCGCGCUACACUGAUGCAUGCAACGAGUUCUAUCCUUGGCCGGAAGGCCUGGGUAAUCUGUGAACGUGCAUCGUGAUAGGGAUAGAUUAUUGCAAUUAUUAAUCUUGAACGAGGAAUUCCUAGUAAACGCAAGUCAUCAGCUUGCAUUGAUUACGUCCCUGCCCUUUGUACACACCGCCCGUCGCACCUACCGAUCGAAGGUAAUGAUGAGCCCUCAGGAUUGUGGCCUCGUCGCGUCAGCGUCUUGGCUGCGAGAAUCUGUGCAAAUCCCUACCUUUAGAGGAAGGUGAANUCGUANCA
rnacentral:rRNA from 1 species